rnacentral:lncRNA from 1 species
GCCUGGUGCAGAGUCGGCACCCAGCACGUGUUAGUUUUUAUCCCACUAGAGGGCUAGUGCCUUGAAGGCAGGGGCCUGUUGGUUCUGUCUACAGCGACAUCUCCAGUGCCUAGAACAGUCCUGGCAUGCAGUAAGUGCUCAGUAAGUUCAUGUCAAACGAGUGGAUCGCACGUGAGGUGAUCCAGAGCCAACAGGGCCCUGAGGACUGAGCUGCCCCAGGCCAGGAGCACACUGCUGGGGAGCCUGCCUGGACAGUGGGAGCUGCAGGUGCUGGGCCCUGGGCACUCCUGCUCAGGUCCCGCCUCCUGGGAUGGCUGCUCCCACCAGGAGCUGCACACUCCACCCUGGGUGGGGCUCAGGUGCCCCAGGGAGGACAGGUCACUCAGUGAGAGUGUUAGCUGAGAGUCUUAACCACUGUCUUUCCCGUCGGCC